UGGAGAAUCCGAAGGGACUUGAACCCUUAUAAACCUGUUUUGCAGACAGGCACAUAUCCAUUUCUGUCACGGAUUC
rnacentral:tRNA from 1 species